GUCUACAGCCAUGCCACCCUACACAAGCCCGAUCCCAUCUGAUCUUGAAAGCUAAGCAGGGUUGGGCCUGGUUAGUACUUGGAUGGGAGACCAACUAGGAAGACCAGGUGCUGUAGGCA
rnacentral:rRNA from 1 species